GACGAACGCUGGCGGCAUGCCUAAUACAUGCAAGUCGAGCGAACAGAUGAAGUGCUUGCACUCCUGACGUUAGCGGCGAACGGGUGAGUAACACGUAAGGAAUCUACCUAUAAGCGGGGGAUAACAUUCGGAAACGGGUGCUAAUACCGCAUAAUAUCUUCUUCCGCAUGGAAGAAGAUUGAAAGACGGCUCUGCUGUCACUUAUAGAUGACCUUGCGGUGCAUUAGUUAGUUGGUGGGGUAAUGGCCUACCAAGACGAUGAUGCAUAGCCGAACUGAGAGGGUGAUCGGCCACAUUGGGACUGAGACACGGCCCAAACUCCUACGGGAGGCAGCAGUAGGGAAUCUUCCGCAAUGGGCGAAAGCCUGACGGAGCAAUGCCGCGUGAGUGAAGAAGGCCUUCGGGUCGUAAAACUCUGUUAUAAGAGAAGAACAAAUUGUAGAGUAACUGCUACAGUCUUGACGGUAUCUUAUCAGAAAGCCACGGCUAACUACGUGCCAGCCGCCGCGGUAA
rnacentral:rRNA from 1 species